AUAAUUUUCUUCCAAAGUCUGAGCCUUCUAGGUUAUUGUCUCUUCCCUCUAGACAUUGGAGCUAUAAUCUGUAUGUUGAAGGAUAAUGUGAUAGUCAAAGUGGUGGUGGUGUGUGUGACAUUGUUUUGGAGCUCAUGGGCUGCCUAUCCAUUCAUGAGCUCAGCCGUCAACCCAAGAAGAAAGGCUCUUGCUCUUUACCCUGUUUUUCUUAUGUACGUAUCUGU
rnacentral:misc_RNA from 1 species